AACGAACGCUGGCGGCAGGCUUAACACAUGCAAGUCGAGCGCCCCGCAAGGGGAGCGGCAGACGGGUGAGUAACGCGUGGGAAUCCACCCAUCUCUACGGAAUAACGCAUGGAAACGUGUGCUAAUACCGUAUACGUCCUUCGGGAGCAAGAUUUAUCGGAGAUGGAUGAGCCCGCGUUGGAUUAGCUAGUUGGUGGGGUAAAGGCCUACCAAGGCGACGAUCCAUAGCUGGUCUGAGAGGAUGAUCAGCCACACUGGGACUGAGACACGGCCCAGACUCCUACGGGAGGCAGCAGUGGGGAAUAUUGGACAAUGGGCGCAAGCCUGAUCCAGCCAUGCCGCGUGAGUGAUGAAGGCCCUAGGGUUGUAAAGCUCUUUCACCGGUGAAGAUAAUGACGGUAACCGGAGAAGAAGCCCCGGCUAACUUCGUGCCAGCCGCCGCGGUAAAAC
rnacentral:rRNA from 1 species